rnacentral:rRNA from 1 species
AGAGUUUGAUCCUGGCUCAGAAUGAACGCUGGCGGCAUGGAUUAGGCAUGCAAGUCGAACGGGUCCCCUCGGGGACUAGUGGCGCAAGGGUGAGUAACACGUGAGCAACCUGCCCCCGAAUCCGGAAUAAGCCAGGGAAACUUGGUCUAAAACCGGAUGUCGGCUGAUUUCCGCAUGGUUUUCAGCCGAAAUAUUCAUAGUUCGGGGAUGGGCUCGCGCCCCAUUAUGCUUGUUGGCGGGGUAACGGCCCACCAAGGCUACGACGGGUAGGUGGUCUGAGAGGAUGGUCACCCACACUGGGACUGAGACACUGCCCAGACUCCUACGGGAGGCUGCAGUCGAGAAUCUUCCGCAAUGGGCGCAAGCCUGACGGAGCGAUGCCGCGUGAGGGAUGAAGGCCUUCGGGUUGUAAACCUCUGUCAUCCGGGACGAAAACAAUGACGGUACCGGAAAAGGAAGCCACGGCUAACCACGUGCCAGCAGCCGCGGUAACACGUGGGUGGCGAGCGUUAUUCGGAUUUACUGGGCGUAAAGGGUCCGCAGGGGGCCUGCCACGCCUGCCGUGAAAUUCCAAGGCUCAACCUUGGACCUGCGGCGGGUACGGGCGGGCUAGAGUGCAAGAAGGGCAGACGGAAUUCCAGGUGUAGCGGUGGAAUGCGUAGAUAUCUGGAAGAACACCGAUGGCGAAGGCGGUCUGCUGGCUUGUAACUGACCCUCAGGGACGAGAGCGUGGGUAGCAAACAGGAUUAGAUACCCUGGUAGUCCACGCCGUAAACGUUGUGUGCCAGAUGUGGGUGGGUUCGGCCCCAUCCGUGUCCAAGCUAACGCGGUAAGCACAC